rnacentral:rRNA from 1 species
CCUACGGGAGGCAGCAGUGAGGAAUAUUGCACAAUGGGCGAAACCCUGAAGCAGCGAAGUCGCGUGAGGGAAGACGUAUCUCGGGAUGUAAAGCUCUAUCAGCAGGGGAGAAAAGGACGGUACCUGAUGAAGAAGCCCCGGCUCACUACGGGCCAGCAGCCGCGGUAAUAAGGAGGGGGCAAGGGUUAUCCGGAUUUACUGGGUGUAAAGGGAGCGUAGACGGGAGCACAAGGCUGGAGGGAAAUGCCGGGGCGUAACCCCGGAACUGCUUUGGAAACUGGGCAGCUAGAGUGCAGGAGAGGUAAGUGGAAUUCCUAGUGUAGCGGUGAAAUGCGUAGAUAUUAGGAAGAACCCCAGUGGCGAAGGCGGCUUACUGGAGUGGAACUGACGUUGAGGCUCGAAAGCGUGGGUAGCAAACAGGAUUAGAUACCCGUGUAGUC